rnacentral:lncRNA from 1 species
GUGUUUCAACCUGCUAACGUUAGCCAGCUAACUGUUAACGCGCCUGAAGCAGAAGAUAACGUUAACCAACCAGCUGCUUGCGCUAGCACAGCCCCUCCAGUUACGACCGCAACUAACGGUAGAGUGGAUCUGCGCACAACUUUUGGAUUCACACCUACAAUGAAAGCAGAGGUGUUGUGGAAUCUUAACACCAUCGCCAAACAUCAGUCCUACAAUGGAAAUGAGGGUAUUUCAGAGCUUUUCAAAGCAUGUUCCCUGAUUCCGACAUCGCUACCACGUUUACUUGUGGGUCCGACAAAACGACAUACAUAGCCAAGUUUGGUUUAGCGGUUCACAUCAAAGAGGAAUUGGUGUCCAAAGUAAACAAAUCGCCGUUCGUUCUUAUGUUUGACGAGAGCCUCAACGAGACAACAAAAAACAAACAGCUGGAUGUGCAUGUUCGCUUCUGGGACGAGGGACAGGUUCAGUCCAGAUACCUGGGCUCCCAGUUUAUGGGACAUUCCACUGCACAAGACCUGCUGUCACAUCUCAAAGAAUGUAUGGACAAACUGGACCUCAGACACUUGGUGUCCAUUUCAAUGGAUGGGCCCAGUGUGAACUGGAAACUCUUCGACAUUUUCCAGAAAGAUCAAUCUGAGCAGUACGGAGGUGUUCAGCUCAUUUGUGUGGGGAGCUGUGGCUUACACACGCUACACAACGCAUUCAAGUGUGGGUUCAGUGCAUGGCAGCUGGACAAGUUGCUGAGAGCAAUGCACACAUUGUUUCACAAUGUGCCUGCCAGGAGAGAGGAUUACAUCACCAUAACCAAGUCCAGUGUGUUCCCCCUGUC